GGGUUGGGGCUGCAGCUCAGUGGUAGAGCAUCUGCUUUGCAUGUAGAAGGUCCUAGGUUGGGGGUCUGCAACCUGCGGCUCUCCA
rnacentral:tRNA from 1 species